GGCGGCGUGCUUCCACAUGCAAGAGAAAAGAGAAAGUGGAGCAAUCCAUGAGUAAAGUGGCGACCGGUUGCCUAACACGUGAUCAACCUGCCCUCGAGUGGGGAAUAACUCCGGGAAACCGGAGCUAAUACCGCAUAACAUCUUCGGAACUCAAGUUCUGUUGAUCAAAGCAGCAAUGCGCUUGAGGAGGGGGUCGCGGCUGAUUAGCUAGUUGGUAGGGUAAUGGCCUACCAAGGCUGAGAUCGGUAUCCGGCCUGAGAGGGCGCACGGACACACUGGAACUGAAACACGGUCCAGACUCCUACGGGAGGCAGCAGUGGG
rnacentral:rRNA from 1 species